GAUGAACGCUGGCGGCGUGCCUAAUACAUGCAAGUCGAGCGAACAGACGAGGAGCUUGCUCCUCUGACGUUAGCGGCGGAAGGGUGAGUAACACGUGGAUAACCUACCUAUAAGACUGGGAUAACUUCGGGAAACCGGAGCUAAUACCGGAUAGUAUAUUGAACCGCAUGGUUCAAUAGUGAAAGACGGUUUUGCUGUCAAUUAUAGAUGGAUCCGCGCCGCAUUAGCUAGUUGGUAAGGUAACGGCUUACCAAGGCAACGAUGCGUAGCCGACCUGAGAGGGUGAUCGGCCACACUGGAACUGAGACACGGUCCAGACUCCUACGGGAGGCAGCAGUAGGGAAUCUUCCGCAAUGGGCGAAAGCCUGACGGAGCAACGCCGCGUGAAUGAUGAAGGUCUUCGGAUCGUAAAACUCUGUUAUUAGGGAAGAACAAAUGUGUAAGUAACUAUGCACGUCUUGACGGUACCUAAUCAGAAAGCCACGGCUAACUACGUG
rnacentral:rRNA from 1 species